rnacentral:rRNA from 1 species
GACGAACGCUGGCGGCGUGCUUAACACAUGCAAGUCGAACGGAAAGGCACUGCUAUUGUGGGGUGCUCGAGUGGCGAACGGGUGAGUAACACGUGAGUAACCUGCCCUUGACUUUGGGAUAACUUCAGGAAACUGGGGCUAAUACCGGAUAGGAGCUCCUGCUGCAUGGUGGGGGUUGGAAAGUUUCGGCGGUUGGGGAUGGAUGCGCGGCUUAUCAGCUUGUUGGUGGGGUAGUGGCUUACCAAGGCUUUGACGGGUAGCCGGCCUGAGAGGGUGACCGGCCACAUUGGGACUGCGAUACGGCCCAGACUCCUACGGGAGGCAGCAGUGGGGAAUAUUGCACAAUGGGCGGAAGCCUGAUGCAGCAACGCCGCGUGCGGGAUGACGGCCUGCGGGUUGUAAACCGCUUUCGCCUGUGACGAAGCGUUAGUGACGGUAAUGGGUAAAGAAGCACCGGCUAACUACGUG